AUGGACACUAAGCAUGAUCAAAAUAUGGGGAUUACAAGUGUAAAAAGUUAAGUGGGUCUUCAAAUGGAAUGAUACAUCUUAUUCCGUUCCUUUCCACACAAAACAAAACUAGCCAAAGCUAUGUUCAUGAACUGUCCAAGAAGCUUAAUAUUGUUUUCUGUGCUGUUCACCAGUCGGCAGAGACAAAAAUGGGAACAUGAACAACCUUUGAUCUGGCUCUGACUGUUCUGUGUUUAACUUGUCUAUGUUUUUUGACCAAAACUAGAGAAAAAUUAUGAAUGCAAUUUGUUCAUGAACAAAUGUGGGACAGUUAAGCCAC